UACAGAGGUCUGCAAGCGUUGUUCGGAUUCAUUGGGCGUAAAGGGUGCGUAGGUGGCGCUGUAAGUCGGGUGUGAAAUUUCGGGAGCUUAACUCCGAAACUGCAUUCGAUACUGCGGUGCUUGAGGACUGGAGAGGAGACUGGAAUUCAUGGUGUAGCAGUGAAAUGCGUAGAGAUCAAUGAGGAAGACCAGUGGCGAAGGCGGGUCUCUGGACAGUUCCUGACACUGGAGGCAACGAAGGCCAGGGAGCAAACGGG
rnacentral:rRNA from 1 species